GCCUGGGUGGCUCAGUGGUUGAGCACCUGCCUUUGGCUCAGGGUGUGAUCCCAGUUCCUGUGAUCGAGUCCCACCUCGGGCU
rnacentral:tRNA from 1 species